rnacentral:misc_RNA from 1 species
GAUGAAGAACGCGGCGAAAUGCGAUAAGUAGUGUGAAUUGCAGAAUUCAGUGAAUCAUCGAAUCUUUGAACGCACAUUGCGCCCCUUGGUAUUCCAUGGGGCAUGCCUGUUCGAGCGUCAUUUGUACCCUCAAGCUUUGCUUGGUGUUGGGUGUUUGUCCCGCGUUGCGCGUGGACUCGCCUUAAAGCGAUUGGCAGCCGGCAUAUUGGCCUUGGAGCGCAGCACAUUUUGCGCUUCUAGUCAUGAAUGUUGGCGUCCAUUAAGCCUAUACAUUUGCUCUUGACCUCGGAUCAGGUAGGGAUACCCGCUGAACUUAAGCAUAUCAAUAAGCGGAGGA